rnacentral:lncRNA from 1 species
AUUUUAUAAUAUAUACCUUUCACCAUAGAAUGAGAAUUCACUAUUAAGACAAUUUACAAACAUAAAUUUAAAUGAAAAAAGAAGAAAAAUAUACUCAAACUAACAAAAAUCGUAAGUUUUUAUAGCAAAAACUGUAAUUAGUGUAAAUUAACCAGCAAAUAAAAUUACUCAAGUAUAUCCAAGAUUGGCGCCAAAAGUGCGAGAAUUUCACAUGACAAGAAAAAAAUUUCCAAUAUAAAGAAAUAUAUUGUUAAAGCUAAAACAACUUUCUUUCUUUCUUUUAAAUGAGAAAGUAAUUAAAAGAAAUAAAA